GACAGAGGGUGCAAACGUUGUUCGGAAUUACUGGGCGUAAAGCGAGUGUAGGCGGUUUCCUAAGUCAGGUGUGAAAGCCCCGGGCUCAACCCGGGAAGUGCACUUGAAACUGGGAGGCUAGAGUAUCGGAGAGGUUGGUGGAAUUCUCGGUGUAGAGGUGAAAUUCGUAGAUAUCGAGAGGAACACCGGUGGCGAAGGCGGCCAACUGGACGAAUACUGACGCUGAGACUCGAAAGCGUGGGGAGCAAACAG
rnacentral:rRNA from 1 species